AUAGAAAUAAGAGAAAAUGUGCUUGAAUCACAGGAGAGAAGGGAUGUUGGAUAGAUCUGUGAAAUCUUUAUGUUGUAGUAUCAGCUGAUUGAUAGCAGUGAUUCUCAGAAGGGUUCCAAUAUUAAGCCUUUCAAAAGCUGGAGAUUAGUGCAACCAUGGUGAACACAGUGACAUUCUGGCAAAGAAAAAAGGGUCAGGGCUGGCAAAAUGUGGCAGGUGUCAAAAUAAAAGGUUAGGCUCUAUGCCUGGGGACCCAUCUGUCAGAUAAAAGUAUGACAAGGCAAUUAAUGUGUUUAUUUAUGUUGCUUAUGACAAACCAUGCAUUCCCUAAAAAUGAUCAAUUUAAACAUUAUCAACUGUUUUCUGGAAAUUAAAAUUAAUAUAAAAAUAAAAUGCUUAAAAUAAAAAGCAUGGUGUAAUAUUGAAAUGGCUUGUUUAUAUAACCAAAUAAAGUUAACUUUGGGGAAUUAUAGUAGUCUUCAUUGAAGGAUUAGAACUAUUAAAUAUAACAUCUUGACAAUAUAGAGGUUAUAUUAAGGAUCCACAAAACUGAUGUUUAUGUUGCAAGAUAAUCUUGGUAGCACUUCUCAUAAGUUCAGCAUGUUUUAUAUUCAUUGAGCUAAAUUUGAUAAUUUCAUAAUAAAAUGAAGCCAAGAAAAUUAUGAAGAAAUAGAAUUUAGAUAUCCAAGCUAUGCGUCUUGCAUUUUCUUUAAAUGUUUUGUUCACAACCUUGUCAUUAUUAGAGCUUUCAUUUUCACUUUGUGACUAAUCCUGACUUCUCUUUAAUUUAUUUAUUAUUUAUUUAGCUUUCUCACUACUUCUGUUUCACCAUCUGUUUAAACUAGAAUAUGUUUAGAUUUAAUAUUCAUCAGUGAUACAUUUUCCUACAGAUAAAAUAAAUUACUACAAGCUCCUAAAAUGUCAUGUGCUUUACAGGUCAAUAAAAUGUAACCCAGAAUUUUGAGAGAAACAGACUUUACUACAGUCUAAAGUUUUAUGCAAAAACUGAUCAUCCCCAUUCUUUCCUUGAAUAAAGAAAAGAAGCUGUCAAUUACCAUGUAUUAAUAAGUGAGGCUCACACCUUAUAGUAACAACAAAAUUAGAAGAGAAAUAAUACGUAUGUCUAGUGUAAUGUGAUAUGCAGAAGAAAAAUUUAAAUUCUUUAAUUGUAAAGGAAAAAAGCCAAUAUGAUAAUGUUAUUUCCAAGGUGCACUUUCUGUCUGCUGAGCGAUGAAAUUAACAAGUAAAGCCAUUGGAAUAGUCAAUAAAAUCAUUUGGCUUUGGAAAGAACAGA
rnacentral:lncRNA from 10 species